UACGUAGGGUGCAAGCGUUGUCCGGAAUUAUUGGGCGUAAAGAGCUUGUAGGCGGUUUGUCGCGUCUGCUGUGAAAAUCCGGGGCUCAACCCCGGACUUGCAGUGGGUACGGGCAGACUAGAGUGUGGUAGGGGAGACUGGAAUUCCUGGUGUAGCGGUGAAAUGCGCAGAUAUCAGGAGGAACACCGAUGGCGAAGGCAGGUCUCUGGGCCGCUACUGACGCUGAGAAGCGAAAGCAUGGGGAGCGAACAGG
rnacentral:rRNA from 1 species